rnacentral:rRNA from 1 species
UGCAGUCGAACGGUGAAGGAGGAGCUUGCUCCUUUGGAUCAGUGGCGAACGGGUGAGUAACACGUGAGUAACCUGCCCCAGACUCUGGGAUAAGCACUGGAAACGGUGUCUAAUACCGGAUACGAGCUUCAGCCGCAUGGCUAGGAGCUGGAAAGAAUUUCGGUCUGGGAUGGACUCGCGGCCUAUCAGCUAGUUGGUGAGGUAAUGGCUCACCAAGGCGACGACGGGUAGCCGGCCUGAGAGGGUGACCGGCCACACUGGGACUGAGACACGGCCCAGACUCCUACGGGAGGCAGCAGUGGGGAAUAUUGCACAAUGGGCGCAAGCCUGAUGCAGCAACGCCGCGUGAGGGACGACGGCCUUCGGGUUGUAAACCUCUUUUAGUAGGGAAGAAGCGAAAGUGACGGUACCUGCAGAAAAAGCACCGGCUAACUACGUGCCAGCAGCCGCGGUAAUACGUAGGGUGCAAGCGUUAUCCGGAAUUAUUGGGCGUAAAGAGCUCGUAGGCGGUUUGUCGCGUCUGCUGUGAAAACUGGAGGCUCAACCUCCAGCCUGCAGUGGGUACGGGCAGACUAGAGUGCGGUAGGGGAGAUUGGAAUUCCUGGUGUAGCGGUGGAAUGCGCAGAUAUCAGGAGGAACACCGAUGGCGAAGGCAGAUCUCUGGGCCGUAACUGACGCUGAGGAGCGAAAGCAUGGGGAGCGAACAGGAUUAGAUACCCUGGUAGUCCAUGCCGUAAACGUUGGGAACUAGAUGUAGGGACCAUUCCACGGUUUCUGUGUCGCAGCUAACGCAUUAAGUUCCCCGCCUGGGGAGUACGGCCGCAAGGCUAAAACUCAAAGGAAUUGACGGGGGCCCGCACAAGCGGCGGAGCAUGCGGAUUAAUUCGAUGCAACGCGAAGAACCUUACCAAGGCUUGACAUAUACCGGAAAAGUUCAGAAAUGUUCUCCCCGCAAGGUCGGUAUACAGGUGGUGCAUGGUUGUCGUCAGCUCGUGUCGUGAGAUGUUGGGUUAAGUCCCGCAACGAGCGGAACCCUCGUUCUAUGUUGCCAGCAC